rfam:Fabibacter sp. 4D4 scaffold1_cov115_read172, whole genome shotgun sequence.
UGCUUAUCAAGAAAGACGGAGGGACUAGGCCCGAUGAUGUCUUAGCAACCUGGGUAAUACCUGGUGCUAAUUCCUAGCCUCGAGCCAUCGAGGAAAAGAUGAGGA